rnacentral:misc_RNA from 1 species
AAGUCGUAACAAGGUUUCCGUAGGUGAACCUGCGGAAGGAUCAUUAAUGAAUGCAUAAGUCGGUCGAUUGUGCUGGUGCAACCACACAUGUGCACGUCGAUCGGCAAAUCAUCCACACACCUUGUGCACCCUAAGACCACAGAGCGGUUCGUUGGGAUUUCGGUUUCGACUUGAGCAGCCCUGCUGGUACUUUUUCACAAACUCGUAUGUGAUUGGGAUGUCAUAGUGCUUUUAAGCACGAUAAAACUAACAACAACUUUCAACAACGGAUCUCUUGGCUCUC